UACGUAGGUGGCAAGUGUUGUCCGGAUUUACUGGGCGUAAAGGGCUCGUAGGCGGCCAACUAAGUCAGACGUGAAAUCCCUCGGCUUAACCGGGGAACUGCGUCUGAUACUGGAUGGCUUGAGAUUGGGAGAGGGAUGCGGAAUUCCAGGUGUAGCGGUGAAAUGCGUAGAUAUCUGGAGGAACACCGGUGGCGAAGGCGGAUCUCUGGGCCUUACCUGACGCUGAGGCGCGAAAGCUAGGGGAGCGAACAGG
rnacentral:rRNA from 1 species